AAUGGGGGCAACCCUGAUCUAGCCAUGCCGCGUGAGUGAUGAAGGCCCUAGGGUCGUAAAGCUCUUUCGCCUGUGAAGAUAAUGACUGUAGCAGGUAAAGAAACCCCGGCUAACUCCGUGCCAGCAGCCGCGGUAAUACGGAGGGGGUUAGCGUUGUUCGGAAUUACUGGGCGUAAAGCGCGCGUAGGCGGACACUUAAGUCAGGGGUGAAAUCCCGGGGCUCAACCCCGGAACUGCCUUUGAUACUGGGUGUCUUGAGUUCGAGAGAGGUGAGUGGAAUUCCGAGUGUAGAGGUGAAAUUCGUAGAUAUUCGGAGGAACACCAGUGGCGAAGGCGGCUCACUGGCUCGAUACUGACGCUGAGGUGCGAAAGUGUGGGGAGCAAACAGGAUU
rnacentral:rRNA from 1 species